UACGAAGGGGGCUAGCGUUGCUCGGAAUGACUGGGCGUAAAGGGCGCGUAGGCGGAUGGCACAGUCAGAUGUGAAAUUCCCGGGCUUAACCUGGGGGCUGCAUUUGAUACGUGUGAUCUAGAGUGAGGAAGAGGGUCGUGGAAUUCCCAGUGUAGAGGUGAAAUUCGUAGAUAUUGGGAAGAACACCGGUGGCGAAGGCGGCGACCUGGUCCUUGACUGACGCUGAGGCACGAAAGCGUGGGGAUCAAACAGG
rnacentral:rRNA from 1 species